UACAACUUAGAAACCGGUUUUACUCUGCUGCAAACAAAUGGACAAGAUAUUGUACAAUAUAUAAUAAAAAGUACAGCAUAAUACAAGUGCCACUAAUAAAAGAAACUUAAAAGACUUAAAAAUGCUUAUUUGUAAUAUAUAUAUAUAUACACACUGCAAUAAAAAGCCACAAUAAAUACACAAAUUUCCAUGUCAUUCAUAAUAAAUACUGAAAAUAUAAAUACAGAAGACUACAGCUAAUAUGAAUAAAUUAUUACAACAUAAAGUCCAGGUUAAGUACUGUGGAAUAUUAUUGUAGCUUAUUUUAUAUACCCUUUGGCAUCUUUGAUGUUAUAACUUAUACACAAGAGAAAUCAACCUAGAAACUAUGCGACAUACAACAUGAUGUCUUCAUGUAAAGUGAACAUAUAUAUGAAUUAUAGUUUGAUUUUCUUCCCUUCCAACCUUUCUAAGUUAUUAGAUUGAACAUAACAGUAAAAAUAUCUAUUGAAAUACUGUUGGAAUUGAGUAAAAGUAAUGACAAGAAUCAACUAACAGAUAAAACCAAUCACAAUGUUGAAAAAUGUUACAGUGAAUUGAUCUCACUCUUUUUAAUUACUUUUUUGCCAGAAAAUCCAAGAGCCAAAAAAAAAAAAAAAAAAAACCCACACAUACUCAAAACACUUCCCUUGUGUAAAGACCAUUCCCAAUGUCCGAAUGGUUCAAUGUAGACUGAAGGAUAACACUCAAGUGCUUUGGAUCAUUUGAUCUACCAUUACAUUCAGCUCACUAGAUUUCACCAGAAUUUGCAAAAUGUACCAAAUUUCUACGGCAGCUGGAAAGUGGACACACAGUUGAUGUUUAAGACUAUGAUCAAGAUAAAGAUACUGCAAAAGGUGACAUUUGUCUAUGCAUCCAAUUAUACAUAUACAUUUUAAAUGGGGAAAAUGCAUUUUUGACCAAUGUCAAAUGACCUUUUCCUAUCAAAUUGUUAUACCCUGUGACACUGAGGGAAACACACUGAAAUAACAAAGUGCCAUUUUCUGCAUUAACAGGCAUUAACCAGUACAUAUGUAUUAAUAGUUCUAUCUUAAGAGGCUAUUACACCAGAAAUGCAAUAAACAAAAAUGAAAGCAGAUCAACUUUACUAAGACACAAUAAAGGCUGAGGUUCUUAGGAACAGAGUUGUAAAUCUACAGGUUUUUUAUUUUUAUUUUUUAACUAUUUCUGCACUGUAAAUGUCUAGCGUUUAUUUUACAUCAAACACUUUUGAAACAUGUUUCACAAACUACGCCUCAGACUUAUUUCCAUAGAGGUGUCUAGAGUCAAUUAAAAAUGGGCCAAAUGAUUCAACAUUCUUUACAUAAGCAUCCUAUAGCUUUUUUUUUUUUUUUUAAGCAAAAAGGGUUAUUUUCCCUAAUGUUGUUUGUGGGGCGCAACCACAAUGAUAUGCCUGUCAUUUCACAAGAACAUCUGAGCUGGGGGAAAUAAAUAAGCAGCUGUAUCUAGUUUGAAAAAAGAUCCCCUGGAGAAAGGAAACAUUGAUUUGAGGGUGCUGCUCAUCUUCCGUGUAGUAAUGACUCUGAGUUGGAGGCAACUCUGAGCAAACGGAGAAAGCUCUUUGCAGGGGCUGCGUGGGUCAAGCAGUGUACUCAGAAAAAAAUCACCCCCCUCCUGAACUCCUUUCGUUUUUAGUUCUUGUCAAGAUGACAUUUUAAAAUCAUUUUGCUGAUCCCUGAGAAGGCAAGCAGCCACUAUUUAAACAACAAAGGGACAAAGGCUGGGAUAAAAUGGUGGCUGACUAAUUCUCUGGAAUUAUUUUAUUCCACACCAGACUCUACACCACUGGUCACAUCUUUCCCAGAAAAUGUGGAAAACUUGAGAUUCUCAUUUGUCAUUUUAGGCUAUAGAAAGAUUAACGAGAAGGUACUUAUUUAGAAGCAAGAAGGUGGAAAAUGCUCCCUUUCUAUAACUGUAACUUCUCAGAAAAUUGAACAGUUUAAAAGCGGAGUCACUUGAUCCUAGUUCUGAUAUCUGUCACUGAGGAUCUUAAAUAGUCACUUUUCCUGACAUCACAGCAUCGGUAAAACACAAAAGAAAAGAAAAACAAACAAACAAAAAACUACAGCCAUAUUUGUCAAGAGCAAGUCACUUUGUAGAGCAAUGUCUCAAUACCCACAUCUUUAUUUUUUAAACUCUGAUUUCUUAGGAGACUUAUAAAAUCAUCAAAUAUAACAAACAUCAAAGGUAGGAGAAACCCCAACUUUCUGAGUCUUCCAGUACAAUGGCCCAAAUCACCACAACUGUUGCCAGGUGCCUAGCUCACAAAGACUGGCCAAGAUAUUUUCUUAUUGUGAGAAAAACCUAAGAGAACUGGAUUGUGUUGCCAAGGAAACCGCCUUCCCUAGAGAUGUUAAGAAUAGAUGGGUAUCUAUCCUAUAGAGCAUGCCUGAGUGACAGUCCUCCCUGGAGGUAGAUGGAUGAGCCAAAUGACCUCUGGAGAUCUCUUCUAGUCUCAGGACUAUAAAAUUUGAGGAAUACAGAAGAAUCUCACUUUUUAUUAUUCACACACAAUUGGCCAUUGUGAGUAUCUUUGAAAAGAUUAAACUAUUUUGAGAUACCCGUUUGGCAUGACUAGUGCCUAAUGAAUCAAGAUUCAGACAGUAACCUUUGGCAGUGGACCCCAUUUGACUAUGGUACAAAGGAAAUGACUUUGAAAACAACUAAAAUUUAAAAUCUAUCAAUUCCACCUAUCAUUUGGGUAUUAUUAAACCAUCCAAGGAGCAACAGUAAAUUAAAAAAAACCACAAAAAAACAAACUAACUGCAGGCAAUUUAUAUUCUAGGUUUAGGUAAUUAGGUUUUUCCUCUCUAGGGGACUUCACAUUUGGAUAUUUUGUUCUUCUUUCUCUUUCAUAUUUCAAUAUCAUUUCAAAAUGGUAUACAUAACUUUGAAUUUUUUAAAGAGAUGAACACUUUAUGUAUGCCCAAGGAGAAAAACUUGGUGGUUAACAUGACAAGGAGGAGCAAACAAAAUUUGAUAAAUUAUGCUAAAAAGUUAGACAUUUCAAUCUCAUUUUCAUAGGUUCCCUGUUUAGAGACAACAGCAAAACCAUAUUAGAAGGCCACCCCCCUGACAAGGAGUUUUUUGGUCUUACCCCGUGAGCGGGUAGGAUUUGAUGGAGAUCUCUGGUGGUGGAAGCUCCUAGACAAUUUUUAAAGAGAUACUUUCUAAAUCAAUUUCUUUCUAAAUACUUAUCAAUAAAUAACUUUUAAGAUACUGAUAAGCCAUGAAAAAAAAUUGGGAGAAAGCCACAAGAGAAAGGAGAAGAAUACUUAACAAAGAAGUAUUCCAAAAUUACAACUAAAACCUUUCAAACAGGUCACAUAAAUUAACUUAGACAAAGGCAGGCUAAUUUCUACCAUAAAUUUGUCUCCUCCUAAAUCUUUCUAGUCAAUACACGUUAUCUCAAAAAUAUUUAAAUGGCCUCAUACAUGUCACUAAAAUGACAGUCAUUGAACUGACUUGACUAUCACCAUGGUAAUGAGUAACGGAAAGAAAGGAACGGCACCAUUAGCACACUGAGUAUAAAUAUUGUCCAAAAUAAAGUUUACCAUACCCUUUUUUGAAAAUUCAGUUCUGCGAGAAACUUUUUUGAGAUAAAAUAAAAUGACAUACUAGAGUUGGCUUUUCUUGAAUUACAAGGAAGUGUAAAAUAUCAAGUGAAAACAAUUACCCUGUAUAGUGGUUUAUUUAUCACAAGUGAAAGAAAAGUAGUCAUCGACCUGACUUAAAUCUUUGAAAUUCAUUUUCCAUGAAUGUAACAAGUACCUGGAUUUACUAAAAUCCCAGGCUAUAUGUUAAUCAGAUUAUAAAAUUGCAUAUAAAAAACAAACUAGUUUAGGCUUUGAAUCUGGUUUUAUAGACCUUCCUGCUUCUCAUCAUUCUGUCUGAAUCACUGCUGUCAGGAUAUGGAAAUCAGGGCACUAUUACGAUUACUAUCCAGACAGCACAAAGUCAGACUUACCCCAGGACUGCUCACCAGGUAAAAUCCAGGCUAUAUCAAGCUUUUGAGUCUGAAUUUUUGAUAAGAAAGAAAAAACCAAAACACCUGCACUGGUUAGAAAGGGUUAGGAAAGGGGGGGAUUCUCAUGCUCCUCUUUCUGUUAGAGGAAAUGAAAUAAAACAAAGUAACUGUUUUAAACUAGUCACACCGAAUAUACAAAUUUGGCAGAUAAAAUAUUAAAGAGCUCUUUUAUUUCCAUAUUCAUUACUUUUGACAAGAGUCCAUCAAUCUUUUUAAUAUAAAAUAUGUUUAAAUAUUUAAAAUAGUUUCUUUAGCAUGUUGUGGCUCUGAGUUUUUAUAUUUUACAGCACUAAAUAAUUUUUAGAUAGUGAGAUAUAAUUGACGGGGAUGGUGGGACACAGAUAUGAACACCAGCUAGGCUGUGAGUGCCCACUUUGUAACUGACCUUUGUGAAUUUGGUUCUUCUAGUAUAAUAAAAUUCUAGUUUUUCAGCUCUGCUGAGCCUUUAUGCUUCCUAGGAGACACCAUCAUUUAAGCUUAUAUUCCAUCCUUACCUCACCCUGACACUUGUAUAAUUCUAGUGAGUUUUCAAAUUGCUGGAUAUUCAGUUAAAUUGAGUCAAAUUCUUUAUGUCAUAGAAACAUCUGACGAGCUGUGCUAUUUGUGUAAAGCUGUGGCUUAGGCAUUUAAAUUAUCAAGAACAAGUUAGCAGAUCCCAGAAAUAAUGUAGUCAGUAGUUAUAAAUUUGUGUUAGAACUAAAAGUGAUUAAGGCUUCAAGCUUUUGGUGUUGGUUGUGGUAAGGACACACAGACAUUUGCAGAAUCGAAUUAUUAAGUCUUGCCUUUGAAGGCAGGAAGGUACUUCCCAUUUAAGGUUGGUAUUUUAUAUACUGACUAUGAUGAUACUCUAAAUGUCUUUGAGACAACGGAGCAGAUGCCAUUUUAAAGAGAAAGAUUAAGUGAUAUAUGGAGAAAUGGAAAGCUUGUGGUACUUUUUAAAAAGGCAGUCCCUCGAUUUUUGAGGAUGUCAAUUUUCCACCUGCUAAUUUAAUGGUUUGUAAUCCCAGCUAAAAGUGAGGGCUCUGAAUGACCUCUCGGUUUUCCACAAGCUGCAAGGCAAUGCCUUUGGAGCCAGGAAUUUGGGCUUUGCUAUUUUGAUAGGCUGUUUAUAAAUAGAAGUAAGAGUGAUUGUGUUCCACAUUGUUACUUCAAAGGUUUCCUGGGUUAUGGGUGAGUCAACUGCCUUUGAAACUGGUAGGAGUUUGCUGGUAUAAAUUUAGCAUCACUUACAUAGGUCUAACCCUGAAGAAGCAAUUAUCUGAAAAUCUCUCUUUCAUUGGAUUUAGUCCUUCUAGUUGAGCCCAGAUUUAAUUCACAAAUUUCAGAUAGGGAGGGAGGGAAGAAGGAGGACCCGCUGAGUUCCAUUAAUUUAGGCAAAAAAAAAGCAUCCUGUAAGUUGCAGAUUCCAUGUAGACAAGAACUGAUGUCACUUUUUCCAAUAUCACUUUAAAAAAAUCACAAAUUGAAAGGAUUAUAAUGACGCUUGAUUAUUUCAUGCCACUCUUCAUCACUAUCAUAAUCCCUUAGAAUUUGUAAUAUUCUUUCCCCUCUUUUUAACCACCCAGAAAAUUUCUCUAACAUAGUAGGUGUUCAAUAAAUAUUUGUUAAAAGAAAGAAUUGACACUUAAUAAAUUCUAAAUAAUAAGACCAAAAGAUUUUAACUUGUACAACAAUCUCAGAAGUUUAACCAAAGAAUCAGUGAUAUAUAAAUUUAUAGGAAAUAAAUCAUAUAUUUUCCUGUUUAAUGAUAACAAAACUAGAAUUUUGCCUAGAAGUAAUCUGUUAGAGUACGAAAUUAAAAAAAAAAUCACUUGCAAUCUCUUUGUUUCUUGAUUAAUUUGUGACCAGUGUUUCUGUAAUUCAUAUCCUUGGUCAUAUAUGAUUGUGAAGAUUCUAAUAAUAAAAUUAAUUAAUAAGUAUCAAUUUCACAUUUUAUAUGUGAUUGGCACUCUGGGAAAAAUAUAGUUUCGCCACAAAGAAAAGACUGGCUUUCAAAAAGUAACCAUAUUAUUCAGUUAACCAAAAGACAGGAGAUGAAUUUUACUUAUGUCUUAAUAAUCAGUGAUCCAUAGAUGAGAAAAAAACUUAAGUAAAUCACUUUUAUUGACUCCUUUCUCCCAAAGGAAACCUAGAAUGACAAAGGAAAUGCAAGCUUCUCUAUCCACUUGACUUGCAAAUCAAUUUGGCCUGGAUUAUAACUGGGAAUUAAGCUCUAAUAAAAGGUAGAGGGCUGGUGCUAAAACAACAGGGACCAAAGCAUGAGGCUUUGCCAUUGACAGUAAAGGACGAAAAAGCUGUGUG
rnacentral:lncRNA from 1 species